CCCGCUUCCUGGACGCUUCCUGCUUCACUUCCGUCACGAAGACGCACGGAAUCUUCUGCUGAACGGAGCCCAGGCGGCGCAUUUUGAGUGAAAUAUCGGCUCGAACCCAACCGAUUUGUAAAAAAACCGCUCAUGAGCACCACUAUGCGGUGCGGCCGUGGGGAUGCUCUGAUGAUUUAAAACGGUCCGUCUCGCUGUCGCCGUGCUUCCACAUCUCCGUCUCCGUGUCGUCCCUCAGCGUCCCCCGGGUCCAAUACGUGAACACGUCCCUGGUCCAGAAGCAGAGAGGCAAGAAGUUCACACACGUUCUCUGCCCCCUGGG